UACGUAGGGUGCAAGCGUUGUCCGGAAUUAUUGGGCGUAAAGAGCUCGUAGGCGGUUUGUCGCGUCUGCUGUGAAAACUCGGGGCUUAACUCCGGGCCUGCAGUGGGUACGGGCAGACUAGAGUGCGGUAGGGGAGACUGGAAUUCCUGGUGUAGCGGUGAAAUGCGCAGAUAUCAGGAGGAACACCGGAGGCGAAGGCGGGUCUCUGGGCCGUAACUGACGCUGAGGCGCGAAAGCUAGGGGAGCAAACGGG
rnacentral:rRNA from 1 species